rnacentral:misc_RNA from 1 species
UUGAAUAAUUUUUCAAUAUUCUGUUAAUAAGCAAUACUAGAGAAAACAAGACGAUAUCAUAUAAUUGUAGAAUGUUAUAGUGAAUCAUUGAUCAUUGGAAUCACGUUACAUAAUUGACCUUGUUCCAGAAGAUGAGAGAUGCUAAUAUAUUUUCACUUAAAUUUACUGUCAAAAACACUAAUGACGUUUUCUAUGUUUCAGUUAUCAAUUAUGCUGGGAAUUAAGUGAAAAUUUAGAUACAAAAAGAGGCUCUUCUCCUUUUAGGUGAAUGAGAAGGCUCUUCUUUUCAAAUUGACUGGACUGAUAUCUUCUGCAAAUCGAGUUGUGGUCUUCACAGAUUAUGAUAAAGUCUGAUUUUAUCAUAAUCCAGCUGAACGAUUGGCAUACUCCUGUACCAGUGCUCCGAAGAGUGAUGGCCUCUCAAGUAAACGAGAAGGUUUAUCAAAUUCCCUUGCCCGUCCUGCAUCUAUAACUAAAACCCUGUCGCAGUCCAUGACUGUGGGUAUUCUGUGAGCAAUGCUGAUGAUUGUGCAAGUUGCAAAGUCCUCUCGGAUAAUCUUCUGAAUUACACCAUCAGUUUUUGAAUCAACUGAUGCAGUUGCCUCAUCCAUAAACAAUAGCCGACUAUGCUUUAGCAUAACUCUCCCCAGACAGAGAAGCUGUCUUUGACCCACACUCCAAUUAUCGCCAUUGUCAACCACAGGAGCAUCAAGUUUUUCUGACUUUGCAGCCACUACAUCCUUUAGCUGGCAGCGUUCGAGACUCUUCCAUAUGUCUUCAUCUGUAUGCUGUCCAAUGGGAUCAAUGUUGCUUCUCACUGUUCCUUCAAAAAGGACGGGUUCUUGGGGAAUUAUCCCAAAGCGAGACCUAAGAUCAUGAAGUCCUAGCCUGCUAAUGUCUAUGCCAUCGAUGAUUAUUUUCCCUCCUGUUGGUUCCACCAGCCUAAAGAAAACUUGGAUCAAAGUUGACUUUCCACUCCCUGUACGUCCCACAACGCCAAUCUUCUCUCCUCCAAAAAUGCUGAGAGUAAUACCUUUGAGAACCAGAGGAGUGUUUGGACGAUAUUUAACCUGUUGGCCGAAAAUUCAAUGCACGCAGUCGGUUUGAGGAGGCUAUAUGAAUAAAGAUGACAAUUGCAUGGGUAAUUAUUCGUUUUCUCUAGAGAAGAAUGCAUAAUGUUCUGCUGUAUUUUGUACCUAACUAGUUCAUUUCCCUUUGCCCUAGAUUAAACUAAACCAGAAAGUUAAUACAAUUGUAGAUGAAUCCCACCACUAGAAAUAAAUUCUCUAUUUUAUUUUUUAAGAUUCAAUAAGAAUUAGACUGGGGCCUUUACCUGCAAGUCUUUGAGAUCAACAUUGCCAUGGGCAGGCCAGCUUGGAGGAGGAACUCGGUCUGUUAUUUCCCAUGCUGCUUCGGGUGGAAUAUUUGUGAAUUGCUUAAUUCUCUCAACAGAAACCAUCCUAUUUUCCACAAAGCAACUCAUAUAUAUGGCCCAGAACAGCACACCAUUAAGGGACAACCCAUAGGAGAGAGAUAAACCAACAUUUUCUACAUUAUGCAGAAUUCAUUAGGUCAGUUUUCUGUAACUAAUUGUAAAAGCUGUUGAUGGAUUCACAAGAUAUCAUUUUUUUCUGAGAGCACAACAAUGGCAAUGAAACAAUGUCUAAAUACUCCAUAUACUUGUAAGAAUUGAGUUGACUAAUCUAAGAAGCCUCAUGAUAAUGUUAGCAUGCAAUUACCUGGCCUUAUAAUGCUGCUAGGUAACACAAUCAAGAACAUAGAAGACAUGCAGAGGAUAAAGCUCCCAAUCAGUUCCAAACGAAAACCUAACCAUUCAUUUGAUCCAUUAUUGUGAAAAUCCAUACGCAAGUUGGCAUUAACUCGGUUAACAUUUUCCUGACAGAAACUUUUCUGCUUAUUGAAAGAGCGAAUUGUCAUAACUCCUGAGAUGCUUUCUGAGAAGUGAUGAAUAAUGGGAGCUUUGGUGAUCGAGUCAAGGCGAGUCAAUUCUCGGGAUGUUGCAAGAAAGUAUCCCUGUAAUCCAUGAGAGGAAAAAACCGUCAGUAAAUUUGGAAAUCAUUUUAAGUAUAGCCAUUUACUUUGAGUCAAACAAAUGACAAUCACAAUUACGAUCUAUAACAUCAUGUGAAGGACCUUACAAGGAAAGCUUUUUCACACUGGUAAAGCUUUGUUUAAAUGUGUAACAUAUGUUCUGUGCCACAUUGUUAGCUCUAUUUUCAUAAUGUGAAAUUGUAGAUUAGAAAGAUAAAAUGAAACCUCAUACCCUGUACCAGAUGUUCAGCCAGCCAAGCGGAAUUAAUAAGAAAACUGUUGGCCAGGCAUAUUGACAUGUAAUAAUGAUGAUGCUGAGUAGUGUGAUGUACAUGGCAACUGUAAUCCCCAAAAUGAAGGGAAUGAAAAGAUCGACGUUGGAUUGAUCAGAUGAUGCCCGGCUUAAUAUUCUUCCUGAUGGUGUGGUAUCAAAAAAUGACAUGGGUGCAUGCAAGAUGCUGUUAAGAAUACCAGUAAAGAAAAUUUGCGCUGUCUUAAGCCCCAUGAUUGCAACGAAAAAUGCUCUCAUUGUUAACAGCACCACUGAAACAGCUGCAAUAAUUGCAUAGACAGAAAUGAACAGAGAAGGGUCGAAAACUGUAGACCGUUCUUCUGAAGUUUCAUAUGCCAACCAAUAAUCACCGGCCAUUAGAGAUGCUUGCCAUAUUAUGGACAAUAACAAAGCUGCUAUUACACCCCACCAACCAAAAGCUGCAGUGCAGUAUUGCUUGUACACAUGCAGACCCACUUUACCAGUUUCUCUUUCUUCUUCUUCAAUGAGUUUCGAAGUUGCCUUAUCUGAAUUGGGUUGAUCUAGAUGUUUGUUUUCACCAUUGGCUUCCCCAAAGUUGGAGGGGGCCCGAGGAGACUUUGGUGUCUUGGGAGAAUAUUCACCAGGCAUUGUGGCUCCAGCUUCUUCUACAAGUUCCAUAGCAGUUUCAUGGGCAGCCACUAGUGCUCCAAAAUCCAUGCCAGACUCCAUUAGAUCAUUGUACUUUCCUGACUGUACUAUCAUUCCAUCACGCAUGACCAUGAUAAGAUCAACAUUAUGCAGGAAGUCAACUUGAUGUGUUACAAGUAAAAUAGUCUUGCCCUUCAGUGCCCCUCGCACGCAUUCCUUGAAUAUAUCAGAUCCAGUAUGUGCAUCAACAGCGCUAAAAACAUCAUCAAGAAGGUAGAUAUCACAAUCCUGAUAAACGGCCCUGGCAAGUUGUAUCCGCUGCUUCUGUCCACCACUGAGGUUAAUGCCACGCUCUCCAAUCUCAGUUUGAUCUCCGUAAUCCAUCAUUUCCAAGUCUUUCUCCAAGCAACAGACCCUUAUGACUUCAUUGUAUUUUUCCUUGUCCAUUGGCAAACCAAAUAAGAUAUUCUCUUGAAUGGUUCCAUUUUGAAUCCACGAGGUUUGAGCAACAUAGGCUGUUGUUCCACAUACCCGGACCUUUCCUGAAAUUUUGUGCAUCUCACCAAGAAUUGAGGCAAGAAGAGAGGACUUUCCGGAUCCCACAGUCCCAACAAUAGAAGUAAGUUCCCCUUUCUUGAUUUCAAAAUUUAUAUUUUUCAGAACUUGAUCUUGACUUUCAUCAUCCCAAUUAAAAGCACCAUCUUUAAUUUCCACAGCAAUUCUACCUUCACAACCUUCCACUCUUUCCACCGACUGCUCCACCAAUUCCUUACUCAACAUGUAACGAUCCAACCUCUCAAGAGAUAUCAUUGCCUGAGAAAGUGAAAUCAUAGAUUGUGGGAAGUUCCUGAUGGGCUCUUGCAAGAUUUUAAAGAUAGAUGUUGUUGUGAAUACUGUCCCUGCGUCAAGUGGCACUCCCAACAGAAGAGCAACACCAAAUGUGACGGUUGAUAUCAGUAAAGGAGUGCACCACAUCACAAUAAUGUUUCCAGAAAUUGAGUACAUAAACUUGGUAAGCCAUCCAAAUUCUGAUUCUCUGAAAUUUUGGAUUCUUUUGUUGAAGUGUUCUUCCCAUGCCUGGAACUUUAUCACACGCAUGUAAUUAAGCAUCUCAUUUGUUGCUUUCAUUCUGGAAUCACGAUUCAUCAUCAAAUUGAAUUGGAAUCUAUUGUUUCUUCGAGUGCCAAACACCGAGAACACAAUAACGCCAAUAAUUCCUAUUAAUGCCGCGACCACAGAAACCCCAAGUGCAUUGUACAAGAGCACUAAAGCAACACCAACUUGCAAUGGCAUCAGCCAUACAGAGUGUAGCUGUAUCAUCAUAUCAGAGAGUUGUUGGGCAUCAACAGCCAUGUAAUUCACAAUCUGUCCAACCCCAUGAGCUUGACGAGCAGAACAGGAUAAUCUCAGGCCCUUCUUGUACAGAGAGGUGAUGAGGGUAGACCGUAUAAGCAUUCCAAGUUUCUGGGAGUUGAAGUUAAAAUGGUGAAGAGUUAAAACCUCAACAAAUUUCGCAGCAAGGAGUGUCAGGACAAGGUAGUAUCCUUCAUAGGGAGAGCUUCUUUUUCCAGCUGUAAAAUCCACAAAACUUUGGAUGAGAAUAGGCCCAACAUACAUGACACAAAGCCGCACAAUUGCAAGGGAAGCAGUGAAGGCAAUUUCCUUCCAAAAGCACCUCAACAAUGUUGUCCUAACAGGGUGCUUAGAUUUUUCAUGCGGUUUAGGCCAAUUGGAAGCAAAAAGCAGAGACAUUUUUUCUGCUCUAUGCUCCGGCGAAAGAGUUGGAACUUCAUCUAACUUGAGAGGAGACUUGUAGCCUUUACUCAGCAGGGGAUUCAUCCAUAGCCAGAAUGCCUUGGAUAUACGAGAAGCUGAAGCGAAGGCACUCACGUUGGAUUUACCCGAAACAGGUUCAUAUAAUUUGGUUUCAGCAUCAUCUAUCACUGGUUCGGAUUCUCUGUUUACUGCAAUCCCGGUUGAUCCUUCGAUGGCCACAUAAAGAAGAAGAAUCGAUAAAGGAGAAGAAACUAUAGAAACUAUAUCAUCCACUAUCAGGUUGGUGUCUUGAGCAACCAAACGAAUGAUCCCAGAUGCCAUAAACAAAGUAAUGAUGAUGAAAUUUGCGACCCAAUAAAUUCGAAUAGAAAGUGGGUGGGUAACAGCUUGAAAUCUCUUCUCAUGGAUGAUCAAGAUUGCAAUCACUGCAUGAGCUAUUGCUUGUACUAACCAAAACAACCCAUCAACUAGCUUCCACGGAAACUGCGUGCUUCCGCUGAAUGCUAGAACGCAGAUAACUGCAUAACCAAAUGCCAAGAGAAUAGAAGCAAUCAAAGAGAGCUUAAACCAGAUAGUAGUUGUAAUGUGAGCUCUGAUAUUUCCAAUGAGGGGUUUGUCGAUGUCAGAGCUGGAGUGACCACUGGAGGUGAAUCUAGAAAAGAGCUUCUGAACCGCGAACACAAUGAGAACAAGCAGGAACAAAAUAUCAACAGAAGAUAGCAGAACUCUCUGUGGACAAGGAGAGAGGAAUAUGAACCUUAACCAUUGAAAUAUCAAUGGAAGGGAUGCUUCCCCAGAAGAUUGAACGACAGAGCUUGAGCAAGAGAGGGAGGUAAUCCAUGGUGGAGAAGACAUGUUUCAAGUUAAAAAGAAAAUCAAUACUCUUGGGUUCUGAUCAAUCUCCUUCCUCUUGCUGUCUUCACCACUAGAUUUCUGUCAAACGGAGACGUCUGUCAGAUGAGAAUCAUGGUAAAGCUGCAGCAGUACCAUUCAAUUAACGAGUUUCUGUUAUUCUGGGUUAAUAAACGAAAAAGGAAAAGCUUAUACACGUGGUUGAAGGAGAUGAAGGAAGGGUGGUGGAGACGUGGAGGUAGAAUGUAUUUUGUAUGGGCUUUGCAGCGUUUCACAUGGUUGCGGGUCUGUAUUAUUUUAUAUAUGUAAUGAAAGAGAGAGAGAGAGAGAGAG